rnacentral:misc_RNA from 1 species
AGGGCUUGACAUGCACUGGAAUGCCGUAUUUCUACGGCAUUCCAGUGCAUGUCAAGCCCUGGUAAGGUUCUUCGCGUUGCGUCGAAUUAAACCACAUGCUCCGCUGCUUGUGCGGGCCCCCGUCAAUUCCUUUGAGUUUUAGCCUUGCGGCCGUACUCCCCAGGCGGGGUGCUUAAUGCGUUAGCUUCGGCACGGACGGAGUCGACACCGCCCACACCUAGCACCCAUCGUUUACGGCGUGGACUAC